rnacentral:tRNA from 1 species
GCCUGGGUGGCUCAGUCGGUUGAGCGUCUGACAUCGGCUCAGGUCCCAAUCUCUCAGUUCGUGGGUUCGAGCCCCGCGUCGGGCU